ensembl:lncRNA
CACUCACAUUCCAAUCAUUGCUCCUUCAGUAAAUGAAGGAGACUAUGUGAACAGGAAGUCUUUCCACAGCAUUAAUGUACAGGUACAUAGUUCCCUGUAGCAUUUCAAACUAACAAAUUAUUUCAUUAUAGUAAUGGAUGCUAAUUUGUGUUCUCUGCACUGUGAAGAUCAUAUGUGAUGCUGCCAACAUUAUCACAAAUGUGGAAGCCAAGCGGCCAGGCUCUGUCCAUGACUCACAAAUAUUCCGUGAAUGUACACUGAGCACAAAAUUUGGACAUGGAGAGUUCACUGGCUACUUGCUUGGUGAUAGGGGGUAUCCAUGUUUACCCUAUUUGCUUACCCCUUACCCUGACCCUGAACCGGGCCCACAGCAGCGAUAUAAUCUGGCUAAUUGCAG